AGAGUUUGAUCCUGGCUCAGGACGAACGCUGGCGGCGUGCUUAACACAUGCAAGUCGAGCGAUGAAGCACCUUCGGGUGUGAAUUAGCGGCGAACGGGUGAGGAACACGUGAGGAAUCUGCCUUCAACACUGGGAUAACUCCGGGAAACCGGGGCUAAUACCGGAUAUGAGCCUUGAUCGCAUGAUCGGGGCUGGAAAGUUUUUCGGUUGAAGAUGACUUCGCGGCCUAUCAGCUUGUUGGUGAGGUAAUGGCUCACCAAGGCGACGACGGGUAGCCGGCCUGAGAGGGCGACCGGCCACACUGGGACUGAGACACGGCCCAGACUCCUACGGGAGGCAGCAGUGGGGAAUAUUGGGCAAUGGAGGAAACUCUGACCCAGCGACGCCGCGUGAGGGAUGAAGGCCUUCGGGUUGUAAACCUCUUUCAGUAGGGAAGAAGCGAAAGUGACGGUACCUACAGAAGAAGCACCGGCUAACUAUGUGCCAGCAGCCGCGGUAAUACAUUGGGUGCAAGCGUUGUCCGGAAUUAUUGGGCGUAAAGAGCUCGUAGGUGGUUCGAUACGUCGGAUGUGAAAAUCAGGGGCUCAACCCCUGACCUGCAUCCGAUACGGUCGAGCUAGAGUUUGGUAGGGGAGACUGGAAUUCCUGGUGUAGCGGUGGAAUGCGCAGAUAUCAGGAGGAACACCGAUGGCGAAUGCAGGUCUCUGGGCCAAUACUGACACUGAGGAGCGAAAGCGUGGGGAGCGAACAGGAUUAGAUACCCUGAUAGUCCACGCCGUAAACGGUGGGCGCUAGUUGUGCGAACCUUCCACGGUUUGUGCGACGCAGCUAACGCAUUAAGCGCCCCGCCUGGGGAGUACGAUCGCAAGAUUAAAACUCAAAGGAAUUGACGGGGCCCCGCACAAGCAGCGGGAGCAUGCGGCUUAAUUCGACGCAACGCGAAGAACCUUACCAAGGCUUGACA
rnacentral:rRNA from 1 species